rnacentral:rRNA from 1 species
GACGAACGCUGGCGGCGUGCUUAACACAUGCAAGUCGAACGGAAAGGCCCUGCUUUUGUGGGGUGCUCGAGUGGCGAACGGGUGAGUAACACGUGAGUAACCUGCCCUUGACUUUGGGAUAACUUCAGGAAACUGGGGCUAAUACCGGAUAGGAGCUCCUGCUGCAUGGUGGGGGUUGGAAAGUUUCGGCGGUUGGGGCUGGACUCGCGGCUUAUCAGCUUGUUGGUGGGGUAGUGGCUUACCAAGGCUUUGACGGGUAGGCGGCCUGAGAGGGUGACCGGCCACAUUGGGACUGAGAUACGGCCCAGACUCGUACGGGAGGCAGCAGUGGGGAAUAUUGCACAAUGGGCGGAAGCCUGAUGCAGCAACGCCGCGUGCGGGAUGACGGCCUUCGGGUUGUAAACCGCUUUCGCCUGUGACGAAGCGUGAGUGACGGUAAUGGGUAAAGAAGCACCGGCUAACUACGUG